rnacentral:rRNA from 1 species
GAUGAACGCUAGCGGCAGGCUUAAUACAUGCAAGUCGAGGGACAGCACAGGUAGCAAUACUGGGUGGUAACCGGCAAACGGGUGCGGAACACGUACACAACCUUCCUUUAAGUGGGGGAUAGCCCAGAGAAAUUUGGAUUAAUACCCCGUAAUAUAGUUGAAUGGCAUCAUUUGAUUAUUAUAGCUACGGCGCUUAAUGAUGGGUGUGCGGCUGAUUAGUUAGUUGGCGGGGUAACGGCCCACCAAGUCUACGAUCAGUAGCUGAUGUGAGAGCAUGAUCAGCCACACGGGCACUGAGACACGGGCCCGACUCCUACGGGAGGCAGCAGUAAGGAAUAUUGGCCAAUGGACGCAAGUCUGAACCAGCCAUGCCGCGUGAAGGAUUAAGGUCCUCUGGAUUGUAAACUUCUUUUAUUUGGGACGAAAAAGGGUCUUUCUAGACCAACUGACGGUACCAGAUGAAUAAGCACCGGCUAACUCCGUGCCAGCCGCCGCAGUAAAAC